rnacentral:tRNA from 1 species
GGGGAUUUAGCUUAGUGGCAUAAGCACUUGCCUAGAAUGCAUGAGGUCAUGAGUUCAAUCCCCA